CACGGGGGGAGCAAGCGUUGUUCGGAAUCACUGGGCGUAAAGGGCGUGUAGGCGGUCCAGUAAGUGGAAUGUGAAAUGCCCCGGCUCACCCGGGGACCUGCAUCCCAAACUGCUUGGCUUGAGUAUGGGAGAGGAUGAGGGAAUUCCUGGUGUAGCGGUGAAAUGCGUAGAUAUCAGGAGGAACACCGGUGGCGAAAGCGACAUCCUGGACCGGUAUUGACGCUGAGGCGCGAAAGUCAGGGGAGCAAACGGG
rnacentral:rRNA from 1 species